rnacentral:lncRNA from 1 species
AUGAAUCACUAAUUCAGUCCAUGCUCUAAACAUGAGUUCCAAGCGUCGCAUACAUACGUCUUGGCCCUUCAUCCCUUUUCUUGACCUAUGCCUCGCUGCAUUUUCUUGCUCACAGUGUCGCCCCACAUCUAGAAUUAUUUCAUCGCGACCUCUGCCUUCUCAUCUUUUCCUCUUUUCUUUCGCAUGAAGCCUUCGCUGGCACUAGAAUUCAUGAUUCUCCUAUGUGUCGACUGUCGAGUCUCCAUCUUCCCUUAGCUAGCCAUGCAUGCAUUUGUCAGACGAUUGGUCGGAUAGGAAAACAGAAGCACCUACAUGUGUUGUCCUGUGAAGCCAUGACUUUGGUAAUGAUUAGUUGGAAAACAAAAGAACGUACAUGGGCUCGCCUGGGAAUCCAUGACUUCGAUAAUGAUUAGUUAGAGGGAAACCGUCAUGUAGCAGCUCUUUGGUCUAGAUCGCAUAUGACUCAAAUAAAGUAGGGAGCAUAUUUGUUAAGUCAAGAACUGGAAAGUUAACGCACAUUUAAUUAAUUUUGGAUCUGAAAUGAUAUAGCGUCCAUCAUCAUCUGCAAGUAUCCGUGUAUUUGUAUAACCUAUUGAGCUGCUGCCUUACAUAAAUUUCUUAUGCAACUUUCCUUCAGGUACCAGAAUUGAGUGUCUAAUAUUAACUCUUUCCUAAUCUCGUAUUACUGACAGCUAUAUGGGUGCAGGUUAUUGUACAAAUAUAUCUCCAAGCAACCACAUCAUGCCGUAUCAUAUCUCUUGCGAUGCUGACAUGUUGUUAUCUUCUGAAUCCACUUCUUGGUAAACCUGCUUUCACAUUAACCACAAGAAAUCAAUGAUGUUUUACUUUCCUAUUUUCACCUUUCAUGGGCAUCAUCUUCUCCAUGUCUUGUGUCAAGAUGCUUUUUUCUGCGCUUUCUUCAGCACCAUAUACACUGUAUCCUAGUCCUCAACCGAGACUGAAACUUCCUAUACAGGUGAUGGCAAUACUCAGAUUUUAAGUCAAUCCUGUAUGGGAAAUUUUAAUUCUGAAAAAUGCAACAAAUUAACAUUGGCAUCAAGCUAGCAGUCAACCAUCAUAUACGCUUAGAAUCACCUUCUUUCAUCCAGAUGCCUAGUGUCUCUUAGGCUGCCUCCAUGCCGUCGUUUUCAUCUAGUGAGCAGCUCCAGCUCUUCGGGCUCAAGAAGCCACCGGUGCUCGCUGGACAUUCACCCAGGAGCUGCACACCAGUGACAUUGGAUUAUACGGUGCAAGCCUUAGACCACCGCUGCUGCCCAUUCUCAUCAGGGAGAUCAAGGAGUACCUGGCAAUUCGAGUCCAAGAAUAACCUUCAAAUUUGCAGGAGAAGCUGGAAAGUAAAUUAGCAGGAGAUAGACGCACAUGAAAAUCCUAGAUGCCUGGGAACCAUCGAGGGACACAAAAUAAGAGGAUACUGAUUCCUCUUAGAUCAAAGGAGAGGGCCAUGAAUGAGAUAAGUUAUUGACCGAGUGGGCAACAUAUUGGAUAAGCGCUUGACUGCUCGAGGAAGGAGAGAUGGAGGCCUGGGGUUACCUUGGGAAGAAAGAAGAAACCAUGGAUCUACGUAUAUGAAAGGAAAAGAGAAAGAUAACUUGACCAAAAAC